rnacentral:misc_RNA from 1 species
GAUGAAGAACGUAGCGAAAUGCGAUACUUGGUGUGAAUUGCAGAAUCCCGUGAACCAUCGAGUCUUUGAACGCAAGUUGCGCCCGAAGCCAUUAGGCCGAGGGCACGCCUGCCUGGGUGUCACACGUCGUUGCCCCCCCAUCUACUCCUUCGGGAUUGCGGGGGGCGGAUGAUGGCCUCCCGUGCGCCUCGUCGCGCGGUUGGCAUAAAUGCCAAGUCCUCGGCGACGCACGCCACGACAAUCGGUGGUUGCGAAACCUCGGUUGCCCGUCGUGUGCGGUCGUCGCGCAUCGAGGGCUCGAAAAAAUUGCCGGGCUCCGGCUCGGCUUUCAACGCGACCCCAGGUCAGGCGGGGUUACCCGCUGAAUUUAAGCAUAUCAAUAAGCGAGGA